GGAGAGGUGGCCGAGUGGUUGAAGGCGGCAGUCUUGAAAACUGCAGUACGGGAAACUGUACCGGGGGUUCGAAUCCCUCCCUCUCCG
rnacentral:tRNA from 1 species